ACUCCUACGGGAGGCAGCAGUGAGGAAUAUUGCGCAAUGGGGGAAACCCUGACGCAGCAACGCCGCGUGGGUGAAGAAGGCCUUCGGGUCGUAAAGCCCUUUCGGACGGGACGAACGCUCCGCGGUGACAACCCGCGGAGCCUGACGGUACCGUAAGAAGAAGCACCGGCUAACUCCGUGCCAGCAGCCGCGGUAAUACGGAGGGUGCAAGCGUUGUUCGGAAUUACUGGGCGUAAAGCGCGUGUAGGCGGCCUUGCAAGCCAGACGUGAAAGCCCCCGGCUUAACCGGGGAAGUGCGUCUGGAACUGCUCGGCUCGAGUACGGGAGAGGGAGGCGGAAUUCCCAGUGUAGAGGUGAAAUUCGUAGAUAUUGGGAGGAACACCGGUGGCGAAAGCGGCCUCCUGGACCGAUACUGACGCUGAGACGCGAAAGCGUGGGGAGCAAACAGGAUUAGAUACCCUGGUAGUCCACGCUGUAAACGAUGGGCACUAGGUGUGGGGGGUAUCCACUCCUCCCGUGCCGCAGCUAACGCAUUAAGUGCCCCGCCUGGGG
rnacentral:rRNA from 1 species